rnacentral:misc_RNA from 1 species
UUAACAAUUUAUGUUGUACUCAGACGACACUGUUUCAUGGUUUGAGGUCUUCUGGCGGGCGCACACCAGCGGUGAAGCCGGUGACCUAAACGGAUGGCCCGCCGAAGCAACAAGAGUAUAAAUAGGCAAGGGUGGGAGAUCUACCCCAGGGGGCAUGAACUCGGUAAUGAUCCUUCCGCAGGUUCACCUACGGAAA